UACGAAGGGGGCUAGCGUUGCUCGGAAUCACUGGGCGUAAAGCGCACGUAGGCGGAUUGUUAAGUCAGGGGUGAAAUCCUGGAGCUCAACUCCAGAACUGCCUUUGAUACUGACGAUCUCGAGUCCGGGAGAGGUGAGUGGAACUGCGAGUGUAGAGGUGAAAUUCGUAGAUAUUCGCAAGAACACCAGUGGCGAAGGCGGGUCUCUGGACAGUUCCUGACACUGAGGCACGAAGGCCAGGGGAGCAAACGGG
rnacentral:rRNA from 1 species